UGAGUAAGACAAAUGGCCGCAGCUGUGAUGCCGAAAGGCUGCAGAUGAGGAAAGUCCGGGCUUCACAGGGCAGGAUGCCAGAUAACGUCUGGCGGAGGCGACUCCAGGGAAAGUGCAACAGAAAUAUACCGCAUCUGCGCGUCUCACCGGCGCGUAAGUGUAAGGGUGGAAAGGUGGUGUAAGAGACCACCGCUCUCCUGGCAACAGGAGGGGUCCAUGUAAACCCCAUUCGAAGCAAGACCGAACAGAGAGCAUAAGGCGGCCCGUCUGCUCUCGGGUAGGUUGCUUGAGCCUGCCGGCGACGGCAGGCCUAGAUAGAUGGCCAUUCAACGACAUAACCCGGCUUAUCGUCUUACUCAAAAU
rfam:Clostridium hathewayi CAG:224 genomic scaffold, scf227